ensembl:rRNA 5S_rRNA 5S ribosomal RNA
GUUGGCAGCUAGCUCUCUGCAACUCUCAUAUGGUCGCCCACUGAAGCUAAGCAGAGCUGCGCCUGGUCAGUACCUCGAUGAGGGACAACUUGGGAAACCUAGGUUGCUGCCGGAA